GGGCCGGUAGCUCAGUGGUAGAGCAGCGGACUCAUAAUCCGCGGCGCGCAGGUUCGAUCCCUGCCCGGCCCA
rnacentral:tRNA from 1 species